rnacentral:rRNA from 1 species
AUACGUAGGGAGCGAGCGUUGUCCGGAUUUACUGGGUGUAAAGGGUGCGUAGGCGGGCUGUCAAGUCAGAUGUGAAAUACCGGGGCUUAACUCCGGGGCUGCAUUUGAAACUGAUGGUCUUGAGUGAAGUAGAGGCAGGCGGAAUUCCUAGUGUAGCGGUGAAAUGCGUAGAUAUUAGGAGGAACACCAGUGGCGAAGGCGGCCUGCUGGGCUUUAACUGACGCUGAGGCACGAAAGCAUGGGGAGC